ACGCUCGACACCUACGGAGGCAGCAGUGGGGAAUAUUGCACAAUGGGGGAAACCCUGAUGCAGCAACGCCGCGUGAGUGAAGAAGUAUUUCGGUAUGUAAAGCUCUAUCAGCAGGGAAGAUAAUGACGGUACCUGACUAAGAAGCUCCGGCUAAAUACGUGCCGCAGCCGCGGUAAUCUGAGCGGGCUGGCAAGGC
rnacentral:rRNA from 1 species